CAGCAGCCGCGGGAAUACAGAGGGUGCGAGCGUUAAUCGGAUUUACUGGGCGUAAAGCGUGCGUAGGCGGCUUUUUAAGUCGGAUGUGAAAUCCCCGAGCUUAACUUGGGAAUUGCAUUCGAUACUGGUUAGCUAGAGUGUGGGAGAGGAUGGUAGAAUUCCAGGUGUAGCGGUGAAAUGCGUAGAGAUCUGGAGGAAUACCGAUGGCGAAGGCAGCCAUCUGGCCUAACACUGACGCUGAGGUACGAAAGCAUGGGGAGCAAACAGGAUUAGAUACCCCAGUAGUCCCUGUCUCUUAUAC
rnacentral:rRNA from 1 species